CAAAAGAGUUGAUUAUGAUCAUCAGCUGGUAACAAACCAACUGAUAAAUGUGAGGAAGCAUAGACAAGACACCAAGGCAGCAGACAUGAUCUCCCCAAGAUCCAGUGAUGGUCCAGAGUGAAAGGGGCUACAAAGGAAUGGCUGCGGUUUGAGAACCUGAGUGCAAGGGGCACCUAUCGUUGGGCUCUGCAUGUCAGCUGGUGAGAACACACAAAGAUGGGGAACACUGAGAAGGUUAGAUUUUGACUCUACUGCAGAAGUGACCAGAAUCCUUCCCAAGUGGCCCCUCUCCCAAAGGAUUCACACCAGCCUAACAACUUACUACUGUCCAUCAAAUAUAGCAGGAUCUAUUCGUGAUCUUUGGAGCAUAAUAAACUCUGACCUGAUGCCAACACUGACCACAGGGAUUAUGUGAUCCUUUACAAAAUUCCCUGGCAACUGUUAUUUUAUCAUGUAAUUCUGAAACAGGCAGUAAAUGAUGAUCACUU